UCGGGAAUUUUGGGCAAUGGGCGAAAGCCUGACCCAGCAACGCCGCGUGAAGGAUGAAGUAUUUCGGUAUGUAAACUUCGUAAGAAUAGGAAGAAUAAAUGACGGUACUAUUUGUAAGGUCCGGCUAACUACGUGCCAGCAGCCGCGGUAAUACGUAGGGACCAAGCGUUGUUCGGAUUUACUGGGCGUAAAGGGCGCGUAGGCGGCGUGGUAAGUCAUCUGUGAAAUCUCCGAGCUUAACUCGGAACGGUCAGAUGAUACUGCUGUGCUAGAGUACAGAAAGGGCAAUCGGAAUUCUUGGUGUAGCGGUGAAAUGCGUAGAUAUCAAGAGGAACACCUGAGGUGAAGACGGGUUGCUGGGCUGACACUGACGCUGAGGCGCGAAAGCCAGGGGAACAAACGGGAUUAGAUACCCGCGUAGUCCCUG
rnacentral:rRNA from 1 species